GCCGAUGUGGCGGAAUUGGUAGACGCGGUAGACUCAAAAUCUACUCUUACUUUGUAAGGUGCUGGUUCGAUUCCAGUCAUCGGCA
rnacentral:tRNA from 1 species